rnacentral:miRNA from 1 species
AAGGCGGCGGCGGCGGACG